CCCUUAGAGUUUGAUCCUGGCUCAGGAUGAACGCUAGCUACAGGCUUAACACAUGCAAGUCGAGGGGCAGCAUGACCUAGCAAUAGGUUGAUGGCGACCGGCGCACGGGUGAGUAACACGUAUCCAACCUACCGGUUAUUCCGGGAUAGCCUUUCGAAAGAAAGAUUAAUACCGGAUAGUAUAACGAGAAGGCAUCUUUUUGUUAUUAAAGAAUUUCGAUAACCGAUGGGGAUGCGUUCCAUUAGUUUGUUGGCGGGGUAACGGCCCACCAAGACAUCGAUGGAUAGGGGUUCUGAGAGGAAGGUCCCCCACAUUGGAACUGAGACACGGUCCAAACUCCUACGGGAGGCAGCAGUGAGGAAUAUUGGUCAAUGGACGAGAGUCUGAACCAGCCAAGUAGCGUGAAGGAUGACUGCCCUAUGGGAGUAAACUUCUUUUAUAUGGGAAUAAAGUG
rnacentral:rRNA from 1 species